rfam:Felis catus isolate Cinnamon breed Abyssinian chromosome C1, whole genome shotgun sequence.
UUUUUAGUAUAUGUAUCUCUCAUGCAAUUUUUGGGACAUACUUAUACUAAAA